rnacentral:rRNA from 1 species
CGGGGGGGGGGGCAAGCGUUGUUCGGAAUUACUGGGCGUAAAGGGCGCGUAGGCGGGCGAGACAGUCUUUCGUGAAAUCCCACGGGCUCAACCGUGGAACUGCGGGAGAUACUACUCGUCUUGAGUUCGGGAGAGGAGUGUGGAAUUCCCAGUGUAGCGGUGAAAUGCGUAGAUAUUGGGAGGAACACCGGUGGCGAAGGCGGCACUCUGGACCGAUACUGACGCUGAGGCGCGAAAGCUAGGGGAGCAAACGGGAUUAGAUACCCCGGUAGUCCUAGCUGUAAACGAUGAGCACUUGGUGUAGCGGGUAUCGACCCCUGCUGUGCCGGAGUUAACGCAUUAAGUGCUCCGCCUGGGGAGUACGGUCGCAAAGGCUG